rnacentral:rRNA from 1 species
UACGUAGGGGGCGAGCGUUGUCCGGAUUUAUUGGGCGUAAAGAGCUCGUAGGCGGUUUGGCAAGUUGGGUGUGAAAACUCCGGGCUCAACUCGGAGACGCCACUCGAUACUGCCAUGACUCGAGUCCGGUAGGGGAGUGGCGGAAUUCCUGGUGUAGCGGUGAAAUGCGCAGAUAUCAGGAGGAACACCGGUGGCGAAGGCGGCACUCUGGGCCGGUACUGACGCUGAGGGAGCGAAAGCGUGGGGAGCGAACAGG